UUGGCCGCAGGUCGACGAUUCCUACGGGAGGCAGCAGCAGGGAAUAUUGUGCAAUGAGCGAAAGCUUGACACAGCGACACCGCGUGUGGGAUGACGGUUCUAGGAUUGUAAACCACUUUCAGGAGGGAAGAAAAUGACGGUACCUCCACAAGAAGACCCGGCCAACUAUGUGCCAGCAGCCGCGGUAAUACAUAGGGGUCAAGCGUUGUCCGGAUUUAUUGGGCGUAAAGAGCUCGUAGGCGGUUCAACAAGUCGGUCGUAAAAGUUUAGGGCUCAACCCUAAAAUGUCGAUCGAUACUGUUGUGACUAGGAUACGGUAGAGGUGAAUGGAAUUCCGAGUGUAGCGGUGAAAUGCGUAGAUAUUCGGAGGAACACCAAUUGCGAAGGCAGUUCACUGGACCGUGAUCGACGCUGAGGAGCGAAAGCUAGGGGAGCAAACAGGAUUAGAUACCCUGGUAGUCCUAGCUGUAAACGAUGGAUACUAGAUGUAGGAACUGGAUUGACGGUUUCUGUAUCGUAGCUAACGCGUUAAGUAUCCCGCCUGGGGUGUACGGUCGCAAGACUAAAACUCAAAUGAAUUGACGG
rnacentral:rRNA from 1 species